rnacentral:rRNA from 1 species
GUAGGUCACAAGCGUUGUCCGGAAUUACUGGGUGUAAAGGGAGCGCAGGCGGGAAGACAAGUUGGAAGUGAAAUCUAUGGGCUCAACCCAUAAACUGCUUUCAAAACUGUUUUUCUUGAGUAGUGCAGAGGUAGGCGGAAUUCCCGGUGUAGCGGUGGAAUGCGUAGAUAUCAGGAGGAACACCAGUGGCGAAGGCGGCCUACUGGGCACCAACUGACGCUGAGGCUCGAAAGUGUGGGUAGCAAACAGGAUUAGAUACCCUGGUAGUCCACACCGUAAACGAUGAUUACUAGGUGUUGGAGGAUUGACCCCUUCAGUGCCGCAGUUAACACAAUAAGUAAUCCACCUGGGGAGU